GGCACUUGUCCAGCAUGAGGAGGUUCCUCUAGCCGCCUCCCAGAGUGUGCCUGAUCCCAGUCUAGCUUCAGCCCUGUGGGGAGAUCAAAACUCUCCUGAGUGAGGGUGCCUCACAGUGCCCCACAGAAAGAGGCAGCUGAGCUCCCUGGUGUCCUGGGCCAGCCUUGGUGGCCUCCCUGCUGAGCACCGUCUGUGGCCAGUGCUGCCUUAAGGGGAGCUCAGUGACACUUUGUGGAAUGAAAACAAGGGAGGAAGAAGUGAAGAAACAGCUGGGAAACACAUGGAGGGAAGACAGACCCCACGUUUCCCUCAUUCGUCCUUUGGGUCAGCAAGCAAGGAAACGGCUGUGUGGUCCUGAGGUGAUGGAGCUAAGGGAAGUCGAGCUGGUUCUCACCCUCUCCAGGACUCCCAGUUAAGGACAAGAUGGACAUGUCUGGGAUCACUUCACACAAGAAGGCAGCCUCUGGGAUCCAGCAGUUCAUCAGUCCUGAGAGCAGAAAGACCUGAACCUGCAGCUGGAUGUGAAGGCUACUUGUGCCUCUGGAAUGCUUCCCUACUUCCUUGUGAGCUCAUUUGCCGACUCCACUCACUGGCUCACCUAAGGACAUUUGUCGAUACUUACAGUUCCUUUCCCUCCUCUUAUCAACUUGGGGUGGCAACCUGGUUCAUGAGUUACCUGUCCAGUGCGGCAGUUAGAACAAGCAGAAGCAUUAGCACAUAACCAGUGUUCAUUCACAUCCCUCCUUUUGGGAGUCAUCCUCUAUGUGAUCUCGGGAAUCAUCACCCACAAGCGCCUCAAUUCCCUCUAGUAUGAAACAGUUUCAAUCUACCUCACAAGGUUACAGAAAUGAAACAAGAUGAAUCGGAACUACCUGGCAUGUGAGAGCUAUUGUAAUAGGCUGAUUUUUUUCUCCCACCCUCUCCUAUGUAUUUGCUCUAGUCCUUGCUGUUUUACAAGAUUAAGAGAUGAGUCCCUUGUAAUAAAUGGCUCACACUGCUGUACCUAAUGAACCCUAUGAGGCUAAAUAGAUUAACUAUAAAUAAACAUAUUUAUUGUAGUAGAAAUUUAAGAAAAAAAUGCCUUGUAUUUGUGUAUCUCUUUUUCUUGCAUGCAUGGGGAGGGGGGAUAUUUGAUACAGUCUCGCUAUGCAGUUGAGGCUGGCCUUGAACUCAUUAUGUGGCCCAGGCUUGAACUCACAGCAAUCUUCCUGCCUCAGCCUCCCAAAUGCUGAGAUUACCGGUGUGCGCCACUAUGCCUAGCACCUUUUUAUUUCUAAAGCAUGUUCUUUGAUAUUUUUCUUUCUUUUUUUUGGUACCAGGGAUCAAACUUGGGACCUUCUGCUUGCGAGGCAGAUGGUGGAAAUACUGAGCUAAAUCCCUGGCCCUGAUAUUUCAUUUUUUAUAAGUAGCAUGCUAGUGAUAAUUAAUUUUGCCCUCCUGCUUAUAUUCAUACCACCAUCCAAUUUGAAGUCAUGUAUACAAUUUUAGUAAUUUUCAAAAACAAAUCUGAUUAUGCAAUCUGAGUUUGAAAACAAAAACUAUUUGGAAAGCAUUUGGUUGUAAAGAACAAUCUCCUUCCACUAUGUGUGGUCUUUUAUGUCUAAGUGUACCAAGCCCCAUAAUAAGAGUAUACUAACUACAGACCCCUUUUUCCAGGAUGAUCCAUCUAAGAGCAAAGACCCUUUUGCAGUUUAUCAGAUUUUUAAUUCUUCUCCGUCUCAAGUCUCCUUCUUCUAAAUCACCCUCUGUAUUUUUGCAGAGCUCAGAAAUACAAACCUGACUGUUACUCCAACUGAAAACCCUUUCAUGAUUUCUCAAUAUGUAUGGGAUCAAAAUUAGUCUGCACACCUCACAAUACUCUCCAUAGUCUGGCUUGCUGUGUAUUUGCUCUGCACCAGACAGGAGCAGGCAAACCCUUUCUGUAAAGGGUCAGAUAUUAACUAUUGCAGGAUUUGCAAGAUGUAACAUGAAAGCUGCCAAAAACACAUAAAGAUGGCUGUGUUGCAAUAAAACUUUACUGGCAAUGAACUAUACUUUGCUCAAGAGCUGACGUUUUCCCAAUCUAACCUAGAACUAUAUUCCAUUUUAUUUAUUUUCUGCAGUGCUAGGGAUUGAACUCAGGGCCUCG
rnacentral:lncRNA from 1 species